UACGUAGGGGGCAAGCGUUGUCCGGAAUCAUUGGGCGUAAAGAGCGUGUAGGCGGCUCGAUAAGUCUGCUGUGAAAGUCCAGGGCUCAACCCUGGAAAGCCGGUGGAAACUGUCAAGCUCGAGUCCGGAAGAGGCGAGUGGAAUUCCUGGUGUAGCGGUGAAAUGCGCAGAUAUCAGGAGGAACACCAAUGGCGAAGGCAGCUCGCUGGGACGGUACUGACGCUGAGACGCGAAAGCGUGGGGAGCAAACAGG
rnacentral:rRNA from 1 species